UUGUUAGUUGGAAGUAAUUUUAUGUCAUGACCUACCCGAACCGACGACUCCGUUGCUGUUCUGCUCAAGCAAGCAGCAUUAAAAAAAAACAAAGGGCGGCUGCCUCGUGUGCACGUUUCUCCCGCUCGCACAGUAAACACACAAGCAACCCCAGCUUGUAUAAACUUUACAAUGACGAGCCCGAUAAUGUCUGCAACGUCUUAACUCCGGAAGCAAAUGUCACUUGACUAGCAUUUCCUUAGCUAAACCGUAAACACAUCUCAGUGAACUACCGUAUACCGUUAGCGAGCUUAUAGUACCCCCCCAGCCUUUUUCUUUAGCCUUCUAACUCAAAACCGUGUCGAUGUGUGUUGCGCGUUGGACGCGACUUCAUGUGCGGGGCGUUCUACAUUUUAUCUGCAAAUUCAUAAAAAACAUGUUGACAAAUACAUGUCGGUUAUGAUUAGUCUUAAAAACCAGACAUUUGCUACUUACUUUGUGUCUUCCGAGCUCAUCAUCAACCGGCUUUCGACCGUCCUAUCCGGAAGAAAAUCCAGACCACUGUAUGCCGAAGUCAUGUUAACGAGCUACGGUACAAGCCACCACGCCGUCGUCUUUCAACAAUGAAAGUAACGGCUUCGAGAUUCAACUGCUGCGCGACCACAAAACGGAGCCAGGGAGAGGAGAGGAGGGGGGGCUUCUACUCUAAGCAGCAGAAUGCGAGUACUAAGUCAUCAGAAGCGAUUGACAUUCGUCUUCUGCAUCCCCCAGCUCAUUUCUCCUCCAAUCGCCAAAUUGAAAAAGAAACUACAGGCGAGCUGUCAACUGCAGGGAGAGCAAGAGAGAGGCGUGACUACUUCUGUUCCCUGUCAAGGAGACGCAACUUUCCCGAUCCCUGUGGACCAAUACAUCAGUAUUGUGUAUUCACAAUACAUUGGUUUUGAGUCAUGUAAUAUAAGAAGGGACAAAUAAUCAUUAUAAACACUGGCUAAAGCCCCAACCACAACAAAAGCAAGCCAGGCUAGAUCUGACUCAUUCAUUCUGAAUGAGGGGCCAACCCAACAUCCAAGGACAACGUACCUCAGAGAUCCUAGGUCCUCAUUCCUGACGGGGACACCGGCGGCAGAGGCAGAGGGGGGACAGCGCAUGCCGUUUACGUAUAUGCUCUGCACCAGGGCUAGCUCCGACGAGUGUUCCAACAUCGCACGGUACUCUUCCAGAAAAAUCCACCUUCUUAUGUGUGUUAAAUGGACACUUCUCUUCUUCUCACUAUUUCUCCCUCUCACCUCUCUAUCUGGGUAGCUUUUUUUCUCUCUCUCUAUUUCUCUCUCGCUCUCUCUGUUUUUCACUCCCGCCCCUCUCUUUCUCUCCUCAGAUUUAGUGCAGUCGAGCGGCACACACCCCUUUUGCUGACUGGCGUAGCUGAAAUAAUCCUUUUUGACAGCUCAUCGUGGGCUAAUGCAUUGUGCAGCCCGCGGCAGACCGGUUCGCAGGCUGCAAAGCUGCGGCCACAGUAGUACUCUUCUUCUAAUUGACACCCAUAUUAGGAAGAGUCCAGGAAAUUGGACACGGGUGAUUUAUUCCUACUGUCAGACUGGGCAGACUGGGAUGCAUGGGGAAAAUAAGGGGAAACGUCUGCAAAGUUUGCCAAUGGAUCUCUGGAUCUGUUUCUUUCUCAGGUUCUGGGAUUGAGUGGGUUGUGGUAUGAUCCCUGUUUCAAUGUUUUGCAUGUAUUUGAAUGCUUGGAUACAGGAGAAAUACAGGCCAAAUGUAGGUCGAUACCAGGUGUUGUUGUUACAAAGGAAAUACUGUACAUACAGGCUAAACCUCAGGUACUGCACUUGUGGCAGGAAUCAUAGUGUGGUCCAACCAAAGUCUGUGUCAAGCAGGGAAAUCAAUCCAACAAGCAAAGCACCACACCCUUUUUAGAACAGAUGCAUGCCUUUGUAUGUAAAAAACUGGAUUCUGAAGUGUCAAACUUCAAAUGUUGCAAUGAUUGAAAUGUUCUAACAACUCCAUCUACUAACUCUGCAGUUACAUGCAGAUCUUUUGGUCGAGAUUUAGUCCGUGAAAACACCAAAUAUUUAACACCAGGAAACAUUUAUUGGGGACGGGCAUUUAUCCAAAACCCUUAUCCAGUCCAGUCAUACCAUCACUUUCUGAGUAAUCUUCUUUUAGACAGGAGGAUGCGCAUAUGUCACAUUCUUCACAUUCCCUGGACUGACUGAUGAUAAACCAGAGGAUGAGAAGAGGGAGGGGAGAGAGGUACAGGGAGCGACAGAGGAGAGACAGAGAGGGGGUGAUGGAGACCUUUGUGAGAGGGGGAGACAGAGCCAACCCUGUCUACCUCUGUACCCUCUCUACAGUAUGUUGUCAUUAUUACACUGGUGCAGAGAUGGAUAGCAUAGCUCGCUGUAUGUUUAGUCAGUAAGAAAAAAUUCUGGUAAGCAUGGCUAUCUUUUAAUAAAGGAAGGAUUACGCUA